AGGGGAGUAGCUCAGCUGGUAGAGCACCGGUCUCCAAAACCGGGGGUCGCAGGUUCGAUCCCUGUCUCCCCUG
rnacentral:tRNA from 1 species